UCAAGGUAAUAAAGUCCUGGAGUCA
rnacentral:misc_RNA from 1 species